rnacentral:rRNA from 1 species
UUUACGGGAGGCAGCAGUGGGGAAUAUUGAACAAUGGGCGAAAGCCUGAUGGAGCAACGCCGCGUGGGGGAUGAAGGUCUUCGGAUUGUAAACCCCUGUCACCAAGGAUAAACCGUAAUCGGUUAAUAACCGGUUGCCUGAUGUAACUUGGAGAGGAAGAGGUGGCUAACUCUGUGCCAGCAGCCGCGGUAAU